GGACUACCAGGGUAUCUAAUCCUGUUUGAUCCCCACGCUGUCGCGCCUGAGCGUCAGAAACGAGCCAGUGAGCCGCCUUCGCCACCGGUGUUCUUCCCAAUAUCUACGAAUUUCACCUCUACACUGGGAAUUCCACUCACCUCUCUCGUCCUCAAGUUCAACAGUUUCAAUGGCAAUUCCGGAGUUGAGCUCCGGGCUUUCACCACUGACUUGGAGAACCGCCUGCGCGCGCUUUACGCCCAGUAAUUCCGAACAACGCUAGCCCCCUUCGUAUUACCGCGGCUGCUGGCAC
rnacentral:rRNA from 1 species